rnacentral:rRNA from 1 species
CACCGCGGUUAUACGAGGGACCCCAGUUGAUGAACGCGGCGUAAAGAGUGGUUAUGGAACCCCUUUCUACUAAAAUCGAAAACCCCUCCGACUGUUAUACGCAUCCAGGGGCCUUAAUUUCUUAUACGAAGGUGAUUUUAUUAUCGUCGGCCAGAACCCACGACAGCUAGGAUA